AACUUUUAACAAUGGAUGUCUUGGUUCCGCCAUCGAUGAAGAGCGCCGCGAACUGCGAUACGUAAUGUGAAUUGCAGAACCUUGUGAAUCAUCAAACUCUUGAACGCAUAUUGCGCUGAUGGGUAUUCCCAUUAGCAUGCCUGUUGGAGUGUC
rnacentral:rRNA from 1 species